rnacentral:pre_miRNA from 9 species
UCUCGAUAACGUAAAAGUUAUCUCAAUUUUGUAUGGAGUUGGAACGUUUGCGUAAGUUUGCCGCUAGGGGCGCUGUUCCAACUGCGUGCAAACUUGAGUUAGCUUUUACGAUAUCGA